rfam:Triticum aestivum genome assembly, contig: Triticum_aestivum_CS42_TGACv1_scaffold_051067_1BS
GAAAUACUCCCUCCGUCCGGAAAUACUUGUCAGAGGAAUGAAUGUAUCUAGAUACAUACAUUCAUUUUGAUGCAUUUUUGCGACAAGUAUUUCUGGACUGAGGGAGUAAAAU